GCCCCAAACAAGCCGCCCCCCACAGGCCGCCCCACACAGCCUGCCCCAAACAAGCCGCCCCACACAGCCUGCCCCAAACAGGCCGCCCCAAACAAGCCGCCCCACACAGGCCGCCCCACACAGCCUGCGCCACACAGGCCGCCCCACACAGCCUGCGCCACACAGGCCGCCCCACACAGGCCGCCCCACACAGGCCGUCCCACACAGCCUGCCCCAAACAGGCCGCCCCAAACAGGCCGGCGCUCCGUGAGCAUCGUACAGUCGUUUCAGGUGACAGAGGGAACGUGGCGGAUCAGCACGAGCCAAACCAAUUUGGGCUUCGCCAACCGUCGCCAAGCAGCUAAUUGCAGAUUUGCAUUUCCAUCUCGACAGAUUGAUUGCGGCAGCAGCCGAGAGACAAAUUAAAACACUGCUAAAGAGCGGAAAGAGAGACGAGGGGGGGGGGUUACAGUUGUAACUGUCAUGAUUUGAAUGGUGAUGAUGCAGGAACGGGGAUCAUCUGGUUCAUUUGAGGCUUCGACAACACGGCUGCUUCUCUGGGGGUCCGGUGGGGGGGGUCACCCCCGUCACUCAUGGACCCCCGGACACUGGAAAAGUAACAAAAGAGCUUGAACUGAGAUAUGAGAGGAACCCAUGCAGGCGUUCUGAGUUCUCAUAGUUAUGUGUGAAGUAAAUUGUCUGCGCAGGAUUCUUAGUCUUAAAGUCCUAAACAUAAUGCAGGUUUGCAGAACCAGAACCAGAACCACAGGCUCCUGUCAGACCUGCUGCAGUAAAACCAGAGCUUUUCUAGAGGGAAUCGGCUUCUGUCCACAAGGUCCACAGGAAAUUCCUCGUCGUGGGGUUAAACCCAUCAAAUCAUUUACGAGGAACCGAAACAGCUGCUUGUAAAGAUCAACGUCCGCUGUUUCCCUAUUUGAAGGGGACGUUUUUUCAAACUGUGUGUUAUCAAAAAAACAAUCCACACACACACAUCACCGACCCGUCUGACACUUGAAGCAUCCACACUGAGGCACACACACACACACACACACACACACACAC
ensembl:lncRNA